AACUGUGAAAUUGAUUUAAGUGAUUAGUUAGAUACAAGUGAACAAUGGUUACAAGAUGACUAGAGACAAGUUAAAUAAUGGAGGAAUAAUUAUUGGCUUGCAUUUAUAUAGUAUAGUAUAUUUAAUAUAGAAUAACUAAUAAGACUUAAUUCACCAAGAUUUAAUAAUUGUAAGACCAAUAAAGUUGAAUGUGAAUAUUUUGCAAUUAAAAUAAGGUUAUUUUUAAUUGCAAAACCAGCAAUUUGUGUUAGAAAAACAAAUGACAUUUAAAAAAAAUGGUUUAUUAUUUAAUUCUCAUAGAAAGGGUCCUCUCUGGUAUUGCCUUGUUAAAUAAUAAGCAUUCUCAUUCGUUUAACAUGUAUUGUAAAAUCAGGGGCGGGUUAUGUCACUUGCCAAGAAAGGGGAUAAAAUGUUCAACAAAAAAAAAGUCUGCAUAUUUUCAUUUUUAAGAUUGUUUUAUUUUUUGUACUUUAGUGUAAUAAUCAAGUUCAUAUACGUAUAAUUAUGUAUAAUAGUCAAUUUCAUUUGUCAGUAUAGUAAUCCAGUUCUGUAUAAUAGUCAAUUUACAAAAGAAUUUUAUGAAAAAAAGUCCUAAGGAACGGUGGUAUUGUGGGUACGGGGGAAGAGGCUACUACCCAAUGCCCCCCCCCCUAAAACCCGCCACUGUGUAAAAUCUCCUCUUUUUCAGUGAUUACCACAUGGCAACCCUAUUAAAAGAUAAUUAGCUAAGUUUGAAGGUUUGGAUUGUCUUUUAAAAGACAUUCAAGGAUUUUUCAAAAAAUAUAUAAAUAUAAACAGCGCACAUUUAUUUAAAACUUUAAAUCACUGAUAAAAGAUUUAAUAAAUAAUUGAUUAAAAAGGUUUAUUUUAUAAAAAUAAAUAUAUUAUUGGUUAGCCUCUAAACUUACCCUGCUUAUUGAAUAAAUGUUUAACAGUAAGUAUUGUAUUUCUGAGUAAAUAUUUGAUAGCAGUGUUUACGUACAGUCCUAUACAGUUCUUUUCAGAUUAACAAUAAAUAUUAAUCUUGAUGCCAUUUAAAUGUGUUCAAAUUUUAUAUUUUUUUGAUUUUGAUAAUACAAAUAUGAUGAUUAAUGCUGAGAUAAUUACACAGAAAAAUAUUUUCAUAUUAUUAUCAAUGAUGGAGUGAAACAUUUGUAUUAGGAUGCAUGGGAAUUGCAAAUGAAUAUCAAGCUGCUAUGGCAACCAUUUGAAUCUGAUAGUUACUGUGAGCAAUAUAGUAUAUUAUUUUAAAUCAAAUUAACUGCGAAAAAUGAAUUUCAAUAAACUGGUCACUUUGCUAAAAUUUCAACAAACAACAAUGAUAAAAAUGAUUAAACAAGAAAAAAAUCAAUACUUGAGGGAAUGGUGCCAAAGUAAUCAAGCCUUAAAUAAUAUACUUGUAAAUGAAGAAAUUGACAACUCAUUGGAUGUCAAAUCUAGUAUUAAUGAAGUCUAGAUUUUUAUUGAUUUCAAAAACAUUAAAAUUGAGAACUAUAGUGACUUAUUUUGUGUCUGAUCAUAAAGAUACUUCUGAAACUGAGAGUUCUGAUCUAGACUCUUAGGUUCCUAUGAGUGAUAAUAAUGAAGAUCUUAAUGAUGGAGUACUUGUUACAGAGAUUGCCAAAUGGACUUUAAAACACAGAAUAACUAUAAAUGCAAGUGAUGAACUGUUUUAUUUAAUUUUACACCAGUAUGGUCAUCAUGUUGAUUUACUCAAAUGAACAAGUACAAUUUAAAAUACUUCUAGGAAUGUUCCAAGUGAGUUAAAAUGUGGAGGUGAGUAUGUUUAUUUUAGUAUUUCAAACAGUAUAUCAAGAACUUUAGUAGUCAACUAGCAUUAUAGAUUUGAGUCAAGUACAAUUUUUCUAGUUGUCAAUGUAGAUAGCCUUCCCUUAUUCGAGUCAUCAAACACACAGGCCUAUAAUAUGUAUGUUUGACAAAGGGACACCAUUUAUUGUAUUGCUAUUUGUUAGUGAUAACAAGCCAAAUAUUAGUGAUGAUUUUUUAUAUGAUUUUUUGCAUGAGUAUGAGUUAUUAUUGGCAAAUGGUUUUCAGUAUAAUUCAUAUAACUUCAAUUACAUCUUGAGAAAGAUUUUUGCAAAUGUGCGAAUAAAAAUGACAGGAAGUUAAAGCGUAACCGUUUUUAAAAGAUUGAGUCCCUUAAAGAAUUUUAUUAAUUUGAAACCAGAUUAAAACAUAACUGGGAGUACGAUAAAUUGAACAACUGUGACAAAUAACCAAAUGAAUCCUGUCUUAUUCGAACAUGAACUUUUCGCCAGACUUUCAUUUAUGUUUUAGCUUUGUAACCUCAAGAAAGCAGGUAGAAAAAAAUGUUAAAGAAAAUACAAAAAAUGUUAUGGUCGGAAUUAUGGAGCAUCAUGUUAGCCCAAGUUGAAUAUGAAAAGCAAAAUUCAUGGUGAUAUAAAGAAGGAAUUAUUCGAAGAUAAAAAGUUGUGUAAAGCAAUAAUUGAAAUCAUUCUGCUAAUGCACUAGAGUUCGACGGAAUCAAACAAAAGAUCAAAUAGGAAGCAUUUUAAAGUUCUCUCCAUUAAACAAUUAUUUAUUUUUGAGUUUUUUUAUAAAUUUAUAAUAAAAAAAAUAUAUACAUCUUUAAUAAUAAAUUUAUAGUAAAAAGAAUAUAUACAUCAUA
rnacentral:lncRNA from 1 species